GGAAGAAGUGUUCCAGCAUUCGAGACAACAAAACAGUCUGUGAAGAAACCAAGCACAGAACAUCUCAGACCAGCUAAAACGAUAAACUGAGCACUGCCAGCCAGCGAAGCAAACUCAUCUCCAACGGGGGUUGCAGAUCUUACCCAGGCACUGUACCAUGCUGGGUUUUAGUGAUAUGUUGCUCAUAGGGAUUCCACAACCUACAUCCUUCUCCGUCCUUACUGUUAUGUAUCUCUAGCGAAGGAGAUAAACAGUCACUGCUGCCACAGACUGCUGGAUAGUCUUGCAAGAAGAGGCAUGAGGAGCAAGCAUUGGCACGGCCUCUGAAGACUCUGUUAGCUGAAAAUAAUCUGAGCUACAGCUAUUGUUAUGACAAUGAAAUUCAGAGUCAAAUUUAUUCCUGGUUAAAUAAUAACCUCUUCUUAUAAAACUGUUCAUUGUUGGAGAAGUUACCAGCUGAAAAAUGAAGACUGGAGUGGAUUACAGGAAUGGAGUUAAAAUAGCUAAAGCAAGCCUCUGAGAGUGAUUUCCCUUAUUCUUAGAAGCAAUUUCAAAAGGAGAAUCUGGGAAUUUUCAAGACUGCAAGUUAUUUCCUUGGCAUUUUCAUGAUGAAGAAACACAGGUACAUGGACCAGGAUCUGUCUCCAUGGAAGUGGAUCAUUUGGUGGUGGCUAACGUAAGCAACAGGGGGUUACAGCAAUGCAGCACCACCAGAGCUCCAGAGAAAGGGACGGGGCUGGAAGAGGAAGGGACACAAGACAGAGGCAGUACAGGUGCAGAGUAGUGGAACAGGCUGAUACCACAAACAUGAAAAUGUAAGUAACUAACUGCAUAAUUUAAAUAACUGUUCUGGUAAGAUACUACAGUAACAUCAACAUUGUUCUUUAAUAGAUUCUACAGCAUUUUAUCCUUGCAGAAGAUAAUUGCCAACAUAGAACAUUAUCUGGUCGAUAAAACAUGAACUUUGGGGUGCAAGAUUGGCUCAGAGUUUAUGAAGAGGUAAAGCAAAAGCUUUCCUCCUUUUGCUUAAAAAGAUGAAUCCACUAAAAGCAUAAGCCACUGAGCUGCAAAAACUUACACUGCUGAAAAUCAAAUAUAAAAUACUAUGCUAAAAUUACCUACCAAAGCUGGAAUUCAAAUGUCAGUAUGGAGACACAGAUUUAAGAGAACACUUUCAUAUAUUAUGAACACAAGUGCUCAGAGUUCAACUGCAUGUAUUGAAUUUUGUUGCAACACGAUGCAUCAAGCACUGUUUUCAAAUGGGGAUUGAAAAUCUAUCUUCUUUAAUGCUAAAUCACUUGAUAUAUCAUUAUUAUUACAUUACUUAUCAUUUUUAUAUCAAUAAAAAUUUAAUAUCCAAAGAUUUGAAAUAGUAGAAAGGUUAGAGACAGCCAAAGAAAACAUUUGCAAAAAUGUGCAUAACAAAGAGAUAAGGAUGAAGACAUGCUUUCUUUUUUAACAUGACCUACAUGUGCACUAAUUUUUCAUCUUUAAAAAGCAGCAGUUCACAAGUCACACCUCUUCAUUCCCUUUCAAAUCAAUUUGAUACACCUACACAACUCUUUUGCCGGUGAGUUACUGCACGUUUGCACUCAAACUUUGUGUUUCCAGCCCUGCUAUAUUUUCUUGAUAAGAUCUAUUAGUACAAGAGAUUCAAAUUACUCUGCAACUUUUAGCAAUUAACCCUCUGUUAUGAUACACUGCAAUUGAGCAUUUUAACAUACAUAAAAGCAGGGCAAUGUACAACAGAUGACUCUACAGUGUCUUGAUAUCAUCAGUUUACUUCCUUCUCAUAUGGGCUUAUACAAGCAACUGUAACUUCUAAUAAAAUCUACUCUAAAAAGUCUCUCUGAAUGCUUGCCUGUGUCUCAUGCUCCUCCAGAGACUUUUGCUAUUAUCAGCACCAGCUUUUUCUAAAGCCUUCUGUUCAGCAUCAGAAAAUAAACCGUCCCUUACACCACUGGUUGUCCCUUCUUUAUACUACAAUGUAUUCACUCGGUGGAGCAAAGAUUCUGAGCAAUCAUUAUUCCCUCUCUGGACAUGUCUGGAAUAAAUUCUUGCUUUCCAGCACUCUUUUAUUACAAGCUUUACACACUUAUGUUCUUUUCCUAGGUUACAACUUCAUCACUACAUUUCUCACCAUACUAAUACCUGUCCGUACUCCUCUUGUUGAAUGGUUAAUGCUUCCUUAUUUAAGCGCAGGGAAUUCUAAGUAGCUGUUGUCAUAAUCCAACUACCCCGAGGGGUUAUACGUUGCUAAAGGUUCAGGCUGUCGAGGACAGAUCUGGGCUAGAACAACAUCCAGAUUCCUCCCCAGCUGUCCUACUUCUGCCCAGCUGCUUAAAGCGGCUGUACAUAUUACGCCAAACCGAUGUCUACAGAACAAUGUUUAAGAAAAGGAAAUACAAAAAAAAGUACACACUGAGCUCCAGUAGGUAAAGAAUUAAACCAAUCAAACACUGGGAUUAGCAUCUAAAUAAGCACUAAAAUUUGCUAUUUGAGAUCUAAUAGCUCUCACUUUAUAUUCAAAUAUUUAUGGAUAAAAGACCUUAUGAGGAACAAUGAUACUACAGAUAAUACUCAUCAUUACAAUUAAGGCGACUGGCAGUGUCAUACGGUCAGGUGUCCCUGCCCAGGCAGAGGUAAUUGCUCUGGUCAGACGCUCAACUAGUUCUGUCCUAACAUCAGCUUUUAUAAGGCUUCUUUACCUCUACUUGAUUGCUAACAGCUAUGUUCCGAAAACAAUUCCCCCAAAAGAAUACCACAAACCACAGGCAAAGGGAAACCUUUCAGCGUUUUGCUGAGCAGAGCUCGCUUUGGCAAAAUGCUUGUGGUUUUGUGUCAGCAAUGUGUGCUGCAGCCCAGUGUCUGCUCUAGAGCUGCUGAGAGAGGGAAGGAGGGGGCAUCGGUCACCACGGCUGUUCCCAUUUCAUACGCUCUUCCCUUGAGGGGUGAACUAGCAUCUGCUGUUCCCUUUCUCCUGAGGAAGAAACACCUUCCACAGAAAGGAGCCAUAAAGCUCCUUUCAUGGCUUCAUUUCCCACUAAAAAAGAUUUUUAUUUUUAUUUCACAGGCUGGUUCGAGCAGAAUUUGCACUCAGGUAAAAAUUGUCAUCAUGUAUAUUGCCAUGGUCUUAAUUUUCCCUUCUUUAAUGAGCAGAUUGAGGCUAAAAUUGAGAAUAUGCAUUUUUCUCAAGGGCUUUGCCCUGGCUCAGGCAAUUCCUCAAAGAUGCCCUUCGCCAAAAAUGUAGAAUUCUGUUUCAGAAGAGGCUUUGGAUUGCUAUGAUAAAUAAAUGGAGUCAGUCAGGCAUUCCUAAGCAUCCACAGGGACUUCUGUGAAUUUUUUGAUAAUAUGCUGGUAAUGUGCAUUUGUAGUUUUAUCUGUUAAUUUAUUAAGAAAAGUGACUUUUUUAGAUUUAUUAAUGUUACAAGUGAGUUGUGUUUAUGAAAUUUGCAGGCUAUUGAAGGACGAAAAUCUAAGUCUUUAGAUCCAAUACAAAGUAAACAUUUAUUUUAAACUGAACUGUAAAGUGGCAGAUGUACACUCACUUUUACAGGUAAUAUUAAGUAUUAAAACAUGUUCUACCUGGUUGUCUUUAAAGUGAAGAUUUAAUCCAGACUCUUCUUGAUAAGUACUAGGAAGUUCUUUCCUAGCUUUGUCAUGUCCAGGUCACCAACUGUUGUCUCUUUUUUAAUCAUUGUGCAUAGUUAGGCAUCCAACUGCAGGAACUGCAACCUCUGUUCUUGCCCCAACGGGGGGGCUGGCAUUCACAUACCAUGUUCCAUUUUACUCGUAUUCCAUUCCAAGCAAGCCACUCCAAUCAAACUUUCCCUGGCUACACUAACUUCCCAGAAAAAAAAAGUGGUUACAUUGUCACUUAAAGAUGUAGGAUGUCUUUCCAAGAGUUGAUUGGAUUUAAGCACAUACCCAUCCGCCGCUUAAAAUUCACACAGAUCUAACUUGCAAAUUCAGUGAAGAGUAGUUCUUUUCUACUAUUGCCACUCAAAACUCAUACUAGGACCAUUCUAACACCUUAAAACAAAGAUCAUGUUCCCAUAAUUCAUUAUGUUUGCUUCUCAAAAGGUUAUGUUACUCAAGAUAUUAUUCUUUUUGUGUGGAGUAUAACAGUCAAAUGCCAGCCUAAGAAGUAAAAAAUGGAGCUACAGAUAGUUUAGCAUGGAGACACUUCUGCCAAACGUUCCCUAGAUGUCGCUACACUUUCUGGCUACAUUAAUAUAGCCUUUAUUACAACAUGGAAAACUAUCACUUAGUAACCCAAUUUCUUCAGAGUGACAAAAGACAUUCUAAAUAUAUGUAUAUAUUAUUAUUCUACAUAGUAGAAUAUAUACAUUAUGUUCUACUAAUGUCAUACUGAAACUUGAAAAUAGUUAUCAUCACAGGCUUGUUUUCACACUCUUUCUGCCUUCCUAACACCCUUCAUUCCAAGCAUGUUGGCUCAUUGAGACUGGAGUUGCUUGCCCUUUUCCAUUACUUUGUGCUUAAACAAAGUAGUUCCUUAAGGGCAUCCCCCAAAGUUUCCAGAUUCAGUUUUCACACAUAAUUUGCUAUUCUUUCUGUCUUGACAAGUUCUUCAAAGAUCAUCCUUCUGCUCUUAUAUGACUUUGCCACUCAAACACUCAUUUAUACUAUACAAGUGUUACAGGAAACUGUUCUGGGAAUUCAAGGUAGGAUUCAGGAUCUUUAGUGUUUAGUUGAUUCAGACUUAAAGUAGUUCUGGGGACAACAUCCUUGUUUCCAUUCCGGUUUAUCACUUCUCUGUAACUCACUGUUUCUUACCUGCGCAAAGAGUUUUCAAAUAGCAUAAUGCCGAUUUCUACACAUGAAUGUUUUCCAUAUUGUCCAGCAAUAUGAAGAUUCUCCACUUUACUUCAAAGACAGUAACAAAAUACCUCCAAGUUUUCCAAGUGUUUCAAAUCUCAUUUGUGCUGAAGUAGUCAUUGAUUGGUUGUCCACAAGAUGGGGCUUCUACAACGGAGAUCUGUGUAUCCAAAUUUAAGAUUUUGAUGCUAAAGCUAUGAAUGGCAUCACAGCUGACAGGAACACUUUUCUUAUGCUUUCAGUUUCUGGCACAGGAAUAGCCCUCACAAAAGGAACCCUACUCCCCAUUUCUCACAUGAAAACAAUAUUACCUCGGGAAAUCAAAACUGCAGAAAGCAACUUUACCUUAUUCUUAGCUCUUGUGCUGGUAUACAGCUUAUGACUCGGAGGCAAUAAACACCUUUACAAUCAUCAUGUGUCUUGCAGACUCUGUAAGGUCAUCUACUUCUACAUGAGCUUUUGUGGAAAAUGACGGAGUCCAGAACACCAAGUCGAGUGCAUGUUUUUUUGAGACAUUUCCUAAGUCAAUAUGUAGCCUAACAUACAAAUUUGUAAAGCUGUCUGUAGUUGGAAUGUUUCUGUUAAGAUGAUAACACUUUCAAAAAAAGGAGAAAGCAGCUCCACACAAUCUGUAAUUUCUAUAAACUUCAUUGAUAGGGGGAGAAGUAUGCUGUUACAAAAACUAACUGUAGUCAUGCACUUCAAAAUAAAUGAAACAAAAAUUAAUUUAUUCUUAGACACAAAAAUUCUGAAAGAUUUUUUUCAAAAAAAAUGGAAUAGACUUCCAGUACCUUUUGCUGGCUCAUUUCAGCUUGUGGGCAGUGUUUGUUCAAUCAGUAUGUGAGUAGUUCUGCUAAAAAAGGCCUCCCCAUUUUUUGUCAGGUAAGUAAGCCUAAACAAUCGAGACUUUCAUGCCAUACAGGAAUCUCCACACAACCAAACCCAGUACAGACUAUCUGGGACGGUACAACUACUUUCUCAUAUUUCUUUUCGUAGCACCAGAGAACUGAGGAAGACUUAAUUUAUAGUAAUUCCUGUUUUCUGCAUGAUGUAGUUGUUUUCUAGAAGUUUUUACAGGAAGCACACUAUUCCAUCAGACAGCAGAAGUGUUUCUGCAUGCAAACGCAAACACUGCUGCCUGCUCUCCGUCCAGGACGAGGUUGCAAACACAUGGACUACUCAAAAAGUAAAACUGAAUCUUGAGAAGAGGAAACACUUCUGGCCAGAUGGUAAAGUUAAUUUCCCAAAGACUAACUCGUCCCCAGUGCCAGACGCAGUCAUUCACAAUCAUAUAAUGUUUUUUAUACAAAAUCUUCAGUGGUUCCUCCUCACAUUCCUCCUGUUCAGUCUCCAGCAACCUGUCUUCUGCAAUUCUGCUGGCUCAGGUGUCACAGACCAGAGUUUCAACAGGAUGUACAAAAUAGUACCUUUCAGAAUAAUUAUCUGGAGAAGCAUAAAAUAAGAAAAUCUGAGGAGCCAGGAAAUACUCCAAGAAGGAUAGAGAGUGACAGCGCGCUACAAACUGAAGUAAAUUAUGUUGUAUUACCAAACAGAAAGCACAGUAAGUUUGAUAAAUGCCAUUUUUGCGCAUACUAAAUAAUAUUCUCAAUAUUGAAGUUUUAGCAGGACUAUUCUGUCCAGGUUUGGAUGCCACAUUUACUGAAAAAGUGGAUCAAAGAAAGAGUUUGCAGGAAAGCAAAAUGAGUGGGAGAUUUACAAAUCAUGAUACAUAAGGAAAGACUGAAACAAAGCAGCAUAACAGUCUUCAGGUAUCUAAAUCAUUGCAACAAUGCAGACAGGACCUGCAAUAAAAAGUUUGACUUGUAGCAAUCUUAGAUAUUGGGGAAAAAAAUUCAAAUGGUGAUAGAUUGGCACACAGAACCUACGGAUGUCAUUCAGUAUCCAGAAACAGUUUCAAUAGUUUUCUGUCAAGAAAUUAAAAAGACAUAGGUGAUCCUGGACUGGGACAGAGUUCUAUGUCAGAUGGUCACACUCCAUAGGCUCUCAUGAAUUAUUCCAUACAUCAUUUUAUCACUUUCAUUACAGAUGACCUACAGCUACCCACAGGAAGAAAACAGAGAUUUUGCUCUACAGGAAAAAGCAGAAAUCAGAGAAGUAGGAAGACUUAGGAGACGGUACACAAGAGGUGUUUUAAGUUGUGCAGCAGAAAGCAUAUUCAACUCAACACAAAUAGGAACAAGCAUUUUUCCUAGACUUUAGAAAGAAGUUCUUCAUGAUGAGGGUGGUGAGGCGCUGGCACAGAUUGCCCAGGGAAUCUGUGGAUGCCCCAUCCUUGGAGGUGUUCAAGGCCAGGUUGGAUGGGCCUUGGGCGGCCUGAUCCAGUAGGAGGUGUCCCUGCCCAUGGCAGGGUGCUGGAACUGGAUGAUCUUUAAGGUCCCUUCCAACCCAAACUAUUCUACGAUUCUAUGAUUUUGGAUACUACCUUACUGUUGCAGUGAACCAAAAGCUUUGUGAGGCACAAAAAGUCUCCAAGAUAAAAGUCACAUUCAGAUGAAACAAUAUCAAGUUGAACUUCAUACUCCUCAUUAGCUGAGGUGAUUUUGCCUUCUGGACUUGCUACUCCAAAUAUGUACCUUUUCCCCACAUCCUGGGCAGAAUAUCCCUGAAUCCACAGGAGCAGUACCUGAUGACCAAUACACUGGCCACUGGCAAACUGUGGAUAGAGCUCGCUCCUUGCAAACUCAGGAAGAAUUUGCACACAGGAACAAGUGAAGAAGGACCAA